rnacentral:rRNA from 1 species
GACCUCGGAUCGUAGGGAUACCCGC